CGCGAGGCGAGGCGUGGCUCAGCAUGAGAAGUUUUAAUCUUCAGGUUCGGUGGCUGCGGGGGUGCUCCCGGGCGGCUGCUGGCGGCGCCCCUGGCUGUGCUUGGGGGGAGGGGUCGGGCCUGCGCCUGAUGGUUUUAUCCCUGGUAUGGGUGGAACGGCCGUGAGCUGUACCAGCUGGUGCCAAAGCAACGAGUCAGGAGUAAGUCUCUCUACAUUUAUGAUUAAUCACCUGUACCUUCUCUUCUUGGAUACUGAAAUCAAUCCACUAUUAUUAGAAAAGCUCCAGGAGCAACGAAACUGAUGUUUCUUGUCCCUGACACAAGUUGAAGACAAGGAAGUCUUACUUCAGACAGAGAUAGGAUGUGAAAAAUUUCCAGGGGACCACAACAUGAAGUACUUGGAUCAAGCUUUUUGAUCAAGGAUGGUAUGACUACUCUGAAGAGUCCCACCAUAGUAAAUAAUACUGUAUUUGCAAAGGAGAAUUUUCAGUGUACUGGAAUGCUGUAUCUUCAAGUUGGAAGCAGUUCUACCCAAUGUUAGAAGAAUAUGAUUUGUUUUCCUGGAUUCCUAUGGUCAAACUGUCGCUGCAUGAGAUUUGUGUACUUGCAUAACCUUUCCAGUUCAUCAUCUAGUGCUAAUAAUGACUUAACAAUGCAAUGUAUGAGCAAAGCAUUCCUAGGGCGGACAUCGUUGUGUUAGCAAAGCUGUGCUAAUGGUCUUUGUGGAUGAAACAAACUACAGUAUAAAAGCAGUUUUCUGGCUUAAGAGAUGUACAUUUACACAGGGACCUAUCAUGUGCCUACACUGUUCGGUGGUCUUCCAUAACAAAGCUGUGCUAGCAAAUACUGUCAUAGUCCAAGAAAAUUCUGGAGGGCUCUGGAAACUACGUGAGGAAACACAGGAUGUGAAGGACUUAAAAAAGAGAGAGAGAGAUAGCCAUUAUCUAAAAGAAUUAAGCCAAAUUUUAAAAUUUACAAAAGGCAAGGCAAGGGAAAAUUCUGAAUAGGUUGGCUUAUAAAAAGCAAAACCGGUGGGUUGAAGAAGUGGCAGUCUUGCUCCAGAAAUCUCCAGCAGUACUGGAAACCAGACAAAAGCUACAGGAGAGCUGCAAACUAGGUUGUUGAAAUCCUAAAAGCUGGCACUGUUUAGGCUGAUUGCAAACUAUUAAAUGUUAUUAGCUGCAACUGCUGUCUUGGACUGCAAAAAAACCAACCAAACAAAAAUUCUAAAAAAUAGAAAAUAUGAACACAGGAGACAAAGCUUGAGCAACUUUCCUCAUGAAGUAGUAGUCCUAACCUCUGGUAGCUCCAUGAGACGUUUUAUUUUAUCACUAUUUUGUAGGCUGAAUACAGGCCACCCGAUUUUAAUUUUGCAUGGCUUAUCUUUGUUAAGGAAAAGAUAGCUGGACAAUUGGACUAUCAAUUAAAUAAAAAAGUUUAAAAUAACAUGCUGAUACUCUGAAUCACAUUAAUAUUCAGAUCUUCCCAGAUAAUAUCACAAAUAAGCCGACAUCUUACUUCCCUGAGCUAAAAUCUAAUUCAAUCUACAUGGAUGUCUAUUACUUUGUACUGUAUAACUUAGUGUAUCAGUACUGAGCCCAUGCAAAAGAAGGGCUUUUUUAAAAAAGUGACAGAUGUUCUAUGUGCACUUAAGCUGUUUUUCAAUACAAUUAGACCUGUCAUUUACAUAUUUGGCUGAUGUGGUUUUGGAGAUAUCUAUGACCAGAAAGUUGUC